AUUGAACGCUGGCGGAAUGCUUUACACAUGCAAGUCGAGCGGCAGCGCGGCCUUCGGGCUGGCGGCGAGCGGCGAACGGGUGAGUAAUGCAUCGGAACAUGCCCAGUCGUGGGGGAUAACACUUCGAAAGAAGUGCUAAUACCGCAUACGUCCUGAGGGGGAAAGCGGGGGAUCGCAAGACCUCGCGCGAUUGGAGUGGCCGAUGUCAGAUUAGCUAGUUGGUGGGGUAAAGGCCUACCAAGGCGACGAUCUGUAGCUGGUCUGAGAGGAUGAUCAGCCACACUGGGACUGAGACACGGCCCAGACUCCUACGGGAGGCAGCCGUGGGGAAUUUUGGACAAUGGGGGCAACCCUGAUCCAGCCAUUCCGCGUGAGUGAAGAAGGCCUUCGGGUUUUAAAGCUCUUUCGGCAGGAACGAAACGGUGGGCUCUAACAUAGUCCGCUAAUGACGGUACCUGAAGAAGAAGCACCGGCUAACUACGUG
rnacentral:rRNA from 1 species